AGAGUUUGAUCAUGGCUCAGAAUGAACGCUGGCGGCGCGCCUAAUACAUGCAAGUCGAGCGAGAAGACGUAGCAAUACGUUUGUAAAGCGGCGAACGGGUGAGGAAUACAUGGGUAACCUACCCUCGAGUGGGGAAUAACUAGCCGAAAGGUUAGCUAAUACCGCGUACGCUCCUUGGACUUCGGUUCAGGGAGGAAAGCGAUACCGUGGGUAUCGCGCUCUUGGUUGGGCUCAUGUCCUAUCAGCUUGUUGGUGAGGUAACGGCUCACCAAGGCUUCGACGGGUAGCUGGUCUGAGAGGACGAUCAGCCACACUGGCACUGCGACACGGGCCAGACUCCUACGGGAGGCAGCAGUAAGGAAUAUUGCGCAAUGGGCGAAAGCCUGACGCAGCGACGCCGCGUGGGGGAUGAAGGUCUUCGGAUUGUAAACCCCUUUCGGGAGGGAAGAUGGAACGAGCAAUCGUUCGGACGGUACCUCCAGAAGCAGCC
rnacentral:rRNA from 1 species